GCCUGUAUAGUUCAGUUGGUUAGAAUGCUUCGUUGUGGCCGAAGAGGUCCUGAGUUCGAGUCUCAGUGCAGGCA
rfam:Edhazardia aedis TSNM 41457 supercont1.29, whole genome shotgun sequence.